rfam:[Actinobacillus] muris strain Ackerman80-443D cont62, whole genome shotgun sequence.
UUUCGCCUGAGGUGUACGUUGCUUGUUACGUCCCUGAGCCGAUAUUUAAAACUCCUUGAGUUGAGCUCCUAUUUGUUGGUGAGCAGGCUCGCCUAGCGAGAAGCCUAAAAAUGAAUAUGUUCGACUCCCUUGAACCUUCUGGUUCAAGGACCACAACAGGUAACGGCACUUCGGGUCUUUU